UAUUAGCCCCGAUAGAAGCGGUAUCCUUUGCUUUUUUUGAAAAAAGCAAAGAUAUAGCGGAUAGCGGGACAUAUC
rnacentral:sRNA from 1 species